rnacentral:rRNA from 1 species
GACGAACGCUGGCGGCGUGCUUAACACAUGCAAGUCGAACGGAAAGGCCCUGCUUUUGUGGGGUGCUCGAGUGGCGAACGGGUGAGUAACACGUGAGUAACCUGCUCUUGACUUUGGGAUAACUUCAGGAAACUGGGGCUAAUACCGGAUAGGAGCUCCUGCUGCAUGGUGGGGGUUGGAAAGUCUCGGCGGUUGGGGAUGGACUCGCGGCUUAUCAGCUUGUUGGUGGGGUAGUGGCUUACCAAGGCUUUGACGGGUAGCCGGCCUGAGAGGGUGACCGGCCACAUUGGGACUGAGGUGCGGCCCAGACUCCUAAGGGAGGCAGCAGUGGGGAAUAUUGAACAAUGGGCGGAAGCCUGAUGCAGCAACGCCGCGUGCGGGAUGACGGCCUUCGGGUUGUAAACCGCUUUCGCCUGUGACGAAGCGUGAGUGACGGUAAUGGGUAAAGAAACACCGGCUAACUACGUG